rnacentral:hammerhead_ribozyme from 1 species
AUCCAGUUGACCAGUCCCAAAUAGGACGAGACAUGAGUCUUGGAU